GAGAUGUGGGGUUAAGUCCUGUAACGAGCGCCCACCUUGUCCCUAGUUGCCAGCACGUGAUGGGGGGCACUCUAAGGAGACUGCCGGUGACAAACCGGAGGAAGGUGGGGAUGACGUCAAGUCAUCAUGGCCCUUACGGCUAUGGGCUACACACGUGGUACAAUGGUCGGUACAGAGGGUUGCCAACCCGCGAGGGGGAGCUAAUCCCAGAAAACCGAUCGUAGUCCGGAUCGCAGUCUGCAACUCGACUGCGUGAAGUCGGAAUCGCUAG
rnacentral:rRNA from 1 species